AUUUAAGCUUCAAUUGUUUAUUGCUAAUUAUUAGUGUUUGAAUAAAUAGUACCUCUGGUCUUCAGCCUAAGUAACUAAGACAUACAUAAUAAGGGGUUAAAGUAUAAAAUUGCCGUUUUAUUGUAAUAGGUAUUUCGAAUUAACAUAGAACCUUCAUGGUUAGAGCUUUUUGAGCGAAACUUUUUUCAAAUUAUAUACCUAUAAGGUUCUUCUUUGUAAAAUAUGCAACAUUUGAUUAUCGACUUUCAGUUGUUUUUUUUAAUCAACUUAGACAAGAAAGAUGGAUACCUCGAACCUUCGACUGAUUUUUGAAUACGAGUUCCGACGCGGAACUAACUCUGCAGAAACAGCUUGCAAUAUCAACGUUGCGUUUGAAGAGGGGACUGCUAAUGAAUACCCCAUGCGAUUUUGGUUUAAACGCUUUUGUGAUGGAAAUUUUGAUUUGAAGAACGAACCACGCGGAAGGCCGCCCAAGCGUGUGAAUAACAAUGAAUUGAAAAAGAUGGUGGAAGCCGAUGCGAGCCAAACUACCCAGAAAUUAGCGGCAUGGCUUAACGUUACCUUACCAACAAUAUUGACUUAUUUUUGUCAAAUCAAUAAAAUAAAAUAAAUUGAAAAAUGGCUGCCUCAUGAUUUGGCUGAUCUGCAGAAAGAAACGCGUGUUGAAACUUGUGUUGCCUUGUUGAAUCGAAACAGAAAUGAAGGAAUAUUGGAUCGAAUUGUAACAUUGGUACAGUGUGGAUUCUUUACGAUAACCGUAAGCGAAAAAUGCAAUGACUGACCCCAGGUCAAACGCCGCAACAGUAUCCUAAAGCAAAGCUUACCAUCAAAAAGGUAAUGGUCAUUGUUUGGUGGUCUCAGCAUGGUGUUAUCCACUAUAGCUUUCUCCGAUCUGGUCAAACAAUAACGGCAGAUGUCUACUGUGCCGAAUUCCGAACAAUGAUAGCAAAACUUGCAAACUUGAAACAUCGCCGACUCAUGAAUCGAUCUUCACCAUUAUAGCUCCAUGAUAACGGGAGACCACAUACAGCACGAAAAACCGUUUUAACUCUACAGGAACUGCAAUCAGAAGCCAUUCGUGACCCUCCGUAUUCGCCAGACCUUGCGACACCGGACUACCACUUUUUUCGUAAUUUGGACAAUUUUCUACGUGAUGUAGUUUUCUUCCCAGGAGGUAGUACAAGAUGUUUUCGCAUAUUUUGUAAAAUAUAGAUCACCAGAGCUCUAUCGCAAACGCAUAAAUGACCUUCCUAUUAGACGACAGCAAUGUAUAGAUAAUAAUGGUAGAUGUUUUGAAUUAAUAAAUGUUAAAUGAAAAAAAAAACAAUUUCUAUUUUUCAGUACAAAUCGGCAAUUUCAUACCCCUUAUAUUAAUACAACGUUAUGAUUAUCAGCCAAUUAUCUCGAACGUAUCAUUGAGUGCUUUCGGCACAUUGCUAGAAAAUAUGAUGACGACCUUGAAAAAAAUGUUGUUACUGGAAAGGUCAAUGACAAAAGAUGACGUGAUCAUAACCCGAUACGUCGACUCAGAAUUUCGCACAACAAAACUUAUUAAAAUGUCGACAUGGAUACUAAAAUGUCGACAUGGAUGAUGCUCCGAGUGUAUUGCGGUCACAAAUGCGACUUUAUAAGAUUAGAUACAUUACAAUUUUUGAUAUUGUAUGAGUACGCACAUUUCGAGAAGUUUCUGUUGAUUUUAAAUUACAAUUCGAAGCGUUUGAACGACAAUUGGUGUUGCGUAACACGUAAACCACAUCUUGUCACGUAAGACUAUGGUUUGCGUCUUCAUACAAUAUGAUCUUGGGUAAACCAAUGACUCAUGCAAUACUCGUUGUCUGAUUACAAAUGACCACUUCAAUGUUAACAGAACUGUAAUAGCAAGAAUAAAGAAACAAUAUGGAUUUAACUAAAUCGCAGUUCGGUCUUAGGGCGUAACGACCACCAUCCAAAUUAUCUGCGAAAAUGUUUAGCGUUUCAGUUUGAAAGGUUUGUACCUGUAGCUAUUGGGGCACAGGCUUAGAUAUGUAGCUAUCAUAUGGCAAAAGAAGCAAAGUGAAAUCCUGAAACGCGUUAGCGACCUUUACAAGACAAACUUAUUACCAAGCCUAAUAACAUUCUGACUAAUAGUCUAUCGAGCAAAAUUACCUACUCGGUUAAUGACAUUUUUUUAUCACUUAUAAAUUGUUUAACAUUUAAUUAUCAGCAAUUACUAAAUAUUGUGAUAACGAAAUUCUAUGCAAUACACUUUUCUGUAGAAUAGCAUUCUCCCGUAUAUCGGUUUACAUUACAGUCGAUUUUCCAACAUAAAUUAGCUUUUUUUUAAUAUUUUGGAAUGAAGUUCCUUAUGGGACGAUGCGGAGGGGUACCCUAACCGGGAAAAAACGUCCGUAACGUAAGAUUUUUAUUAUUUAUGUAUAGUCUUAGUAUGAUGGCUAUACAGUGUCUAAUGUGUAUAGUCUACGUGAGGACAGUUAUUAUUAUUAUUCAUAUAAAUAGCUGUUUCUUUGUAUAUUAUUAUUAUAUCUUUUUUAUAAAUCAUUGUGAAUAAAAUAAAGUUGAUAACUUUGUAAGGUAGUUUUUUUGAAAUUUUUAUCAAAAAAAAUCAUAGUAAAAAAUGUAUACCCAAAUAAUUAUUUUCUUUAUACCUCGAAUAGAACUUCAAAUUAAUAUUUUUAUAAUAAGGAACUUCGUUCCUAUCCGGUGUCCCACGACACCGCACAUCUUUUUUUAUUGCUUAGAUGGGUGGAUGAGCUCACAGCCCACCUGGUGUUAAAUGGUUACCGGAGCCCAUAGACAUCUACAACGUAAAUGCGCCACCCACCUUGUGAUAUAAGUUCUAAGGUCUCAAUAUAGUUACAACGGCUGCCCCACCUUUCAAAAGCUUGCGUCAUUCAGGCUGUUAGGACGCUAGUUUGCACUAAUAUGACCUAAGACUUCUCGAGGUCUAACAUAAGCCAAAAUGUAGCCGGAACUCAAGUUUUGACAUCAAGAAAUUAGCAAAAAAAACACACACAUUGAAAUUAUCACAGAACCCAAAAGUCAUUUGCGACUUUUAUUUCGAAACUAAAAUGAACUUUGUUUCCGAACGGGAAUGUUUGGUAUUACACGUAAUUAUUCAAAUCGAACUUACGCUCCUGCCGUGAUUUCGAAAAACGAAAUUUAAUGAUUUACAGUCGUAUUCAAAAAACCGCCUCACGGUUAGCUGGUUUUAACAUUUUAAACACGCAACAAAAAUCCGGUAUUCAUUCUGGCCUGCUCGGUCAUUCAAAGAUUUCGUGUUCCGCUAUAAUUCGAAGAGGAAAAUGAAGUUAUUAAUAUUUUAUUUAAUAUGUUUGGUGUGUUUCACGAGUGCUUGGCGAGUGUUCCCGUUGCCGAGCGAGUCAGAUGCUAGUGGAUCGCAAUGGGUCAACCCCACGCCUGUAUUUAAGCCGUUUUCGAGUUCCACCGUUCCGAGAGUGUUCCCGCCGUACGUGUUCCCUCCGUUGUUAGUUUCAACCGGCUUACCCAUCAGGCCAACUAGCGUAUGGAAAGCCUAUACUAUGACCACAGAGGAGGUUAAUUAUCCAUACAGCACUAAGAUAGUACAAGACGAAUACCAAGCUUUCGAUGCGUAAGAAACGUCUUCUUCUAGAACUGGUUAAAAUCAAUACGUCGGUGUGAAUAUCAGAAGACGAAGCAAUAGAUUGUUAUAAAAAUAAAAAAAAUUGAAAUGGU